AAAUAUAUAUGAUUCAAAUUUUAAUGAAAUACGUACACAUUGAUAGAGUUACAUAAUUCAAUCAAUAAGUCAAACCCCUUUUAAAAAUUCAACAUUAUUUUCAAUGACGGAUUUCUAAUCCUAAUUACCCCAAUUUAUUUCAAAGUAAUCACGUAAUUAAUUUUUUGUCCUAUACUUAAAAGUCACCACAAAUUAAAAUAAAAAAAACCAAAUAGAAAUUCGAAUCUUCACUAAGGAUAUUACGAGGAUUGUGGUAUAUCUAUAUAGUUUGUUUUAUGAGUGAGUUCUUGUAAUUUCUUUAUUUAAUCUCUUGAUUCUUACCUGGAGUUUGAAUACUCAAAGAACUUCCCGGUGGCAGAGAAGACGAGGAGCGCAACCUCGGCGUCGCAGAGGACCGACAGCUCCUCAGCCUUCUUGAUAAGCCCUCUCCGUCGCUUAGAGAACGUCACCUGCCUCGCCGUUAGGUUAUCAAUCUUCUUUAUCUUGAUUUUCUCCCUCGCCAUUUCUCAAUUACCUACAGCCCAACAUUAUUCUUUUUCAAAAUAUAUAAAUACGUCUAACAUAAAAAUUGACCUCAACAUAUAGAUAUUAGAACUAAUUGGUUUUUCUUGAAACUAAAGAGGGAAAAACAGAAAACCCUAGAGAGAGAUUCUGAAUUAUUCAGAUCUGAGAGUGGAGGAAAAAUAGAAAAAUUAAAUUAAAUAGGAAAAUUAAAUAAGUGAAGUGAAAUUAAAGUAGAUGAAGAAGAGGAAGGAAGUUUUGAGUAAAAAAAAAAAAAAGGGAAAAAAUAAUGAGAAAUGUUUGUAAAUUUGAUUGUACCUUUUGAUUGGGAGGAAGAAGAAUGAGAAGGUGGAAGGGUUCAAAAAUGAGGAUUAGACUAUGACGUGUUCGAUUUAAGGAAAGAAUACAUUCCCAUUUAUAGCCAAACAGUCGCCAAUUCUUCUCUCUUAUUUUCAAUAUUUCCCAACAUUUUUUUAACCUUUCUUUGUAAAUAAUAUAGUAAUAAAGAGAGGUGAUUUGAUUUGAGAGGAUUUAGAAAACGUGGGUUCCGUCAAAGUCCUUAUCUUUACUCGUUUUCGAAGUAAAAACCAAUACCAAACAGUAAUUUUUUAUUUAAACGUCAUCUAUCCAACUAAACUUGAAAAUCAAUAUUAAAUAUGUUAUAUUUCAAAACCUAAAAUGUAGUUUUAAUUGUUUUUUAAUUUAGGAAAUGGAUAAGAAAAUAAUUUCCAGUUGGCGUGAAAAGGGGUGCAUUCCGUACAAGGCGGCCAUGCUGCCCGCUGCCCACUGCCCACUGCCCGUCUGAGGACCGUGUACUAUUUUUCUCUGUUUUAGGUAAUAAUUUUAUAUUGCGCGAAAUUUAAACAUUUCCCAACUGCAAACUCAUAAAUUUAUCGUCCUUUCCUUUCUCGCGGACUUUUAUUUUGUUUUUUUUUGGAGAAGUGUCGCGUAAGUUAUUAUUAAUAUUGGAGAUAUUAUUAUUAAUUCCCUUUUCUUUUAUUUCUCUUUUUCCUCAAUAAACUUCCUGAUCAAACUUGCCGGUACGAUCCUUUAACGGCGUGUGUCGUUUUAUGUCCACAUGUUUAAUUCCUCUUAUCCCAAUGAGUCUUGCGCGUGGC
rnacentral:lncRNA from 1 species